rnacentral:rRNA from 1 species
CCUACGGGUGGCAGCAGUGAGGAAUAUUGGUCAAUGGGCGGAAGCCUGAACCAGCCAAGUAGCGUGCAGGAUGACGGCCCUACGGGUUGUAAACUGCUUUUAUACGGGAAUAACGCGCCUUACGUGUAGGUCUUUGCAUGUACCGUAUGAAUAAGGACCGGCUAAUUCCGUGCCAGCAGCCGCGGUAAUACGGAAGGUCCGGGCGUUAUCCGGAUUUAUUGGGUUUAAAGGGAGCGUAGGCGGGAUGUCAAGCGUGCUGUGAAAUGUCCGGGCUCAACCCGGGCCUUGCAGCUGGUACUGGCGUGCUUGAGUCCGCUGGAAGCAGGCGGAAUGCGUCGUGUAGCGGUGAAAUGCUUAGAUAUGACGAAGAACCCCGAUUGCGAAGGCAGCUUGCUGCAGCGGAACUGACGCUGAUGCUCGAAAGCGCGGGUAUCGAACAGGAUUAGAUACCCCGGUAGUC